CAGUCGACGAGAUCUUCGGAUCUAGUGGCGCACGGGUGCGUAACGCGUGGGAAUCUGCCCUUGGGUUCGGAAUAACAGUUGGAAACGACUGCUAAUACCGGAUGAUGACGUAAGUCCAAAGAUUUAUCGCCCAAGGAUGAGCCCGCGUAGGAUUAGCUAGUUGGUAAGGUAAAGGCUUACCAAGGCGACGAUCCUUAGCUGGUCUGAGAGGAUGAUCAGCCACACUGGGACUGAGACACGGCCCAGACUCCUACGGGAGGCAGCAGUAGGGAAUAUUGGACAAUGGGGGCAACCCUGAUCCAGCAAUGCCGCGUGAGUGAUGAAGGCCUUAGGGUUGUAAAGCUCUUUUACCCGGGAUGAUAAUGACAGUACCGGGAGAAUAAGCCCCGGCUAACUCCGUGCCAGCAGCCGCGGUAAUACGGAGGGGGCUAGCGUUGUUCGGAAUUACUGGGCGUAAAGCGCACGUAGGCGGCGAUUUAAGUCAGAGGUGAAAGCCCGGGGCUCAACCCCGGAAUAGCCUUUGAGACUGGAUUGCUUGAACAU
rnacentral:rRNA from 1 species